GGGUGUUUUGGUUGUGCAUCUGUUCAGUUAUCUGAGCCAACUCUACCUGCUGAGAUUAUUAUUGGUGUGGGCAACCACCAGUACGUGUAUGAGCAGCUUAAGGUUAUCCUUAUGCAUGAUUGUGUGCUGUCCAUCAUGAUGGCCGGACUCGUUCAUGAAUGUCGAUCUUUCCCACCGCAGGGGAGAUGCACAUUUUGAAGCCAUGACUUCCCUUUUUCUGUUCUUGUGUACCACUCGGUGAAGUGGCCUGCACUCCUGUUCCUAAGAGUUUUUGAAAUUUUGUAUUUGGUUGCCAUGCGAACCGAACUGGCCCGUACUCCUGUUCACCGGUCUUUUGUUUAGCAUGGAUUGUAUGCCCUGUUUCCAGUACUUAUGGUAGUUCUAGGGCAUUGUUUGAUACUUGCUAGCAUGAUUGACUUUUCCGUUGAGUAGCUAACCACUACCUGGUUGUUUGAACCAAUGGCUGGUUAGAUCCUGUAGGCUGAGUCUAUGGUCUGUUUGGGUUGCUAUUGUGGUCUGGUUGUUCUCUAAUAAGAACAUAUAUUUUUCUUGCUUGUGCAUUCAACUGAAGCCAUUGCUUAUGUGUGUACUGUUUGAUUGCCCCGUCAGACUAAAGAUGAUGGUAGAGUUUUUCCUGUCAACGACAACUCUGCUUUGAUGCGGCGCCUCGGCCUCCCGUGGAUGAGCUGAUGAUGAGGUACGCCCUCCUCUCCUUCCUUCCCCUUCCUGUCGCCCAAACAGUGACUAGUGUGUAUGCUGCAUUUUUAUUACGCCUACUCAGAGAAAUCACACGUAGAUGAAGUUGAGGAUUGCUAGGUAGUUAGUUGCAUGGUGAAAUUGACUUGGCUUAGAAUCUGGUGGUAGCUUGUCAUAGAUGAUAUGGUUCCCUCAAUGAAGAACUCUUAUGGCAUUUUUAGAUGAAUGAAUCAGAUUGCAAAUUUGUUUGAUUUUUUUCUUUUUUUAUUCAAAAAAGGAGGUUAAACCCCCGGCCUUUGCAUCAAUAUGACGCACACGGCUAUUUUUAUUAAUUAUUCAGCAGAGUACUGCAAAUUUGUUUGAUACUCACACCUGAUUGUUGAUUCGUUCGCUAUAUAUAUGUUGGUGUCGAACAUCCUGAUCCUUGUUUGGUGAAACAGCAGCAACAACAACAACAACAACAAUAACAACAACAACAAAGCCUUUAGUCCCAAACAAGUUGGCGUAGGCUAGAGGUGAAACCCAUAAGAUCUCGCAACCAACUCAUGGCUCUGGCACAUGGAUAGCAAGCUUCCACGCACCCCUGUCCAUAGCUAGCUCUUUGUCGAUACUCCAAUCCUUUAGGUCUCUCUUAACGGACUUGUUUGGUGAAACAGCAGUUGUUUUAUUUUGGUUUGAGUUCCUAUAUUGGUGCAGAGAUAUGAUUGAAAAUAAAUGUGCUUAUGUACCGGACUGCCAGUUCACAUUUCAACAUGGCUGGUUUGUUGUAUCUUAGUUUGCCGAUAGAUUCCUGGAUGGCCAGAUUUGAUAGCUAGCUUGAUUGUUUCUCACGUUUUAUCGGGGGAUGUCCUUUGCCCAAUUCCAUGGCUGAUUGUGUGUUAUUUCGUGUGGACGGGUACAGAAUUGCAGGCACGGAGGGGUUGUACACGGAGCUGCAGGGAAAGAUGAUGGGCAAUAAGGCCACAGAGUAAGCGCUCAUCUUUGUCGAGGAGUGCGGACUCACCAGCCUUCUCACGCCGGAUCAGUUCCUCAAGGAGUGGGAGAGUAUGCUCCAGGGGAUCUCUUCCUCCUGCGCGCCUGGUGAGAACGCUUUGUCUGUAACUCCCCUUCUAAUGAUACUCUUGUGGUUUGUAUUUGUAAGUGAUGGUGUCAAGCUUCAGUUGUCAGUUGUGUGGGGCAACUAAAUUGUGAGUUUAACAUGGCUGUAUAAUUGUAGGAUCAUUACGUCUUUGAUAGUUCAUUCACUGUGACUGCUUCAGUCGCUUUCAUGACUUGCUGCAAUCUCCCUUGCUUAUUUCUUAAAUUUCUCCACUCAAUUAUAAUGCUAAUUUCCAUAAUGGAGCCUUUAAUCAUACUUAUAAUCUUCAGCUUUCAGCAUUAUAUCUUUGAAGCACCGCUGUUUCCUUUACCUCCCGCCUUGAUUUGUUUGACCUUCUGCAUUGAGCUCCUGAUGCAAUUAUGAUUUGGGCUGCUGUGUGUCGUGAAGAUAGUAAUACGAUCGAUGAUUUACAAGUAAUUUAUUUAUUGCACUCCACUUGUUUUACAUAUGAUUUUUGAUGCGUUAAAACUGUUGUUGUGGUUCAGAUGCUUGGCAAGAUUGAUGUUGUUGGCGGCACAAGGGGCAAGGCGGUGAAGAGAGAAGGAAGUGCAUGCUGAAGGAAGUGCUUUGUGUCACGCAAGUGCUAAUUGAUGGAUGGAUAUGGCUGGUGAUAGAUAUGUGUUGUGUACUUAGUAGAUAAAACGGCUUGGUUUUGUUUGCCAUGAACCUCAAAUGUUGGAAAUCGAUGUAAAUGCAUUUCCCAGCUCUUGUUUAUGUUGGGCUGGGCAAUGAGAUGAGCGAGGGCGAUACUAGAAACAUGCAUGCCACCGUAAAUUUCUGUAUUUCUUAAAUGAAGUGGAGGAAUUUAAGAAAUCUGAUUCAUGGAAUGACCAUGAAUCACACUCUGUGAAAUGAAAUGAAAAUGCAUCAAGCAGGAGUGAAGAAAUGAGCUUCAUUUUCAAGCCGAG
rnacentral:lncRNA from 1 species